GGCGUGAUAAGGGGAAGUACAGAGAGGAGAGAAGUAGAGAAGAAAAAGAGAGCGUGAUAAGGGGAAGUACAGAGAGGAGAGAAGUAGAGAAGAAAAAGAGAGAGUGAUAAGGGGAAGUACAGAGAGGAGAGAAGUAGAGAAGAAAAAGAGAGCGUGAUAAGGUGAAGUACAGAGAGGAGAGAAGUAGAGAAGAAAAAGAGAGCGUGAUAAGGGGAAGCACAGAGAGGAG